UGAUGGAGCAACGCCGCGUGAGUGAAGAAGGGUUUCGGCUCGUAAAACUCUGUUGUUAAAGAAGAACAUAUCUGAGAGUAACUGUUCAGGUAUUGACGGUAUUUAACCAGAAAGCCACGGCUAACUACGUGCCAGCAGCCGCGGUAAUACGUAGGUGGCAAGCGUUGUCCGGAUUUAUUGGGCGUAAAGCGAGCGCAGGCGGUUUUUUAAGUCUGAUGUGAAAGCCUUCGGCUCAACCGAAGAAGUGCAUCGGAAACUGGGAAACUUGAGUGCAGAAGAGGACAGUGGAACUCCAUGUGUAGCGGUGAAAUGCGUAGAUAUAUGGAAGAACACCAGUGGCGAAGGCGGCUGUCUGGUCUGUAACUGACGCUGAGGCUCGAAAGUAUGGGUAGCAAACAGGAUUAGAUACCCUGGUAGUCCAUACCGUAAACGAUGAAUGCUAAGUGUUGGAGGGUUUCCGCCCUUCAGUGCUGCAGCUAACGCAUUAAGCAUUCCGCCUGGGGAGUACGGCCGCAAGGCUGAAACUCAAAGGAAUUGACGGGGGCCCGCACAAGCGGUGGAGCAUGUGGUUUAAUUCGAAGCUACGCGAAGAACCUUACCAGGUCUUGACAUACUAUGCAAAUCUAAGAGAUUAGACGUUCCCUUCGGGGACAUGGAUACAGGUGGUGCAUGGUUGUCGUCAGCUCGUGUCGUGAGAUGUUGGGUUAAGUCCCGCAACGAGCGCAACCCUUAUUAUCAGUUGCCAGCAUUAAGUUGGGCACUCUGGUGAGACUGCCGGUGACAAACCGGAGGAAGGUGGGGGAUGACGUCAAAUCAUCAUGCCCCUUAUGACCUGGGCUACACACGUGCUACAAUGGAUGGUACAACGAGUUGCGAACUCGCGAGAGUAAGCUAAUCUCUUAAAGCCAUU
rnacentral:rRNA from 2 species